rnacentral:rRNA from 1 species
CGAUACUAGCUUGCUAGUAGGCGUCGAGUGGCGGACGGGUGAGUAACGCGUAGGAAUCUGCCUGAUAGUGGGGGAUAGCCCGAAGAAAUUCGGAUUAAUACCGCAUAAUCUAUUCGUAGAAAAGUGGGGGACUUUCGAGCCUCACGCUAUCAGAUGAGCCUGCGUAAGAUUAGCUUGUUGGUAGGGUAAAAGCCUACCAAGGCGACGAUCUUUAGCUGGUCUGAGAGGAUGAUCAGCCACAUCGGGACUGAGACACGGCCCGAACUCCUACGGGAGGCAGCAGUGGGGAAUAUUGGACAAUGGGGGCAACCCUGAUCCAGCAAUACCGCGUGUGUGAAGAAGGCCUGAGGGUUGUAAAGCACUUUCAAUUGUGAAGAAAAGUUAGCGGUUAAUAACCGUUAGCCUUGACGUUAACUUUAGAAGAAGCACCGGCUAACUCCGUGCCAGCAGCCGCGGUAAUACGGAGGGUGCAAGCGUUAAUCGGAAUUACUGGGCGUAAAGCGUGCGUAGGCGGUUUAUUAAGUCAGAUGUGAAAGCCCCGGGCUUAACCUGGGAACUGCAUUUGAAACUGGUCAACUAGAGUAUGGUAGAGGAAAGUGGAAUUUCUGGUGUAGCGGUGAAAUGCGUAGAUAUCAGAAGGAACAUCAAUGGCGAAGGCAGCUUUCUGGACCAAUACUGACGCUGAGGUACGAAAGCGUGGGUAGCAAACAGGAUUAGAUACCCUGGUAGUCCACGCCGUAAACGAUGAUAACUAGCCGUUGGGGGGAUUUACCCUUUAGUGGCGAAGCUAACGCG